AACGGCUGGCGGCGUGCUUAACACAUGCAAGUCGAACGCGAAAGGGACGUCGGUCCUGAGUAAAGUAGGCGCACGGGUGAGUAACGCGUAGAUAACCUGUCUUCAUGUCUGGAAUAAUACGCCGAAAGGGGUACUAAUACCGGAUAUUCUUGCUUUUCAUAAGUUAUGCAAGCAAAGGUGGCCUCUGCAUAUGCUACUGCAUGAAGAGGGGUCUGCGUACCAUUAGCUAGUAGGUGGGGUAAUGGCCUACCUAGGCGACGAUGGUUAGCGGGUCUGAGAGGAUGAUCCGCCACACUGGCACUGGAACACGGGCCAGACUCCUACGGGAGGCAGCAGUGAGGAAUAUUGCGCAAUGGGGGAAACCCUGACGCAGCGACGCCGCGUGAGUGAAGGGAAGGCCUUCGGGUCGUAAAGCUCUGUCAAGAGGAAAGAAGUGUACAAUGGCUAAUACCUGUUGUAUUUGACGGUACCUCUAAAGGAAGCACCGGCUAACUCCGUGCCAGCCGCAGC
rnacentral:rRNA from 1 species